GGAGGAAGCAGGGGAUCGCAAGACCUUGCGCUUUUGGAGCGGCCGAUGCCUGAUUAACUUGUUGGUGAGGUAAAAGCUCACCAAGGCUCCGAUCAGUAGCUGGUCUGAGAGGACGACCAGCCACACUGGGACUGAGACACGGCCCAGACUCCUACGGGAGGCAGCAGUGGGGAAUUUUGGACAAUGGGGGCAACCCUGAUCCAGCCAUGCCGCGUGAGUGAAGAAGGCCUUCGGGUUGUAAAGCUCUUUCAGCCGGAACGAAACGGUCACGGUUAAUACCCGUGACUACUGACGGUACCGGAAGAAGAAGCACCGGCUAACUACGUGCCAGCAGCCGCGGUAAUACGUAGGGUGCGAGCGUUAAUCGGAAUUACUGGGCGUAAAGCGUGCGCAGGCGGUUUUGUAAGUCAGAUGUGAAAUCCCCGGGCUUAACCUGGGAACUGCGUUUGAAACUACAAGGCUAG
rnacentral:rRNA from 1 species